UUGAGAGGAUGUCUCUAACAUGUCUCAAAGUUUUUGUAAGGGGAAUCCACUAUUCUGUGUCACUGUGACUCU